UACGAAGGGGCUAGCGUUGCUCGGAAUCACUGGGCGUAAAGCGCACGUAGGCGGACUCUUAAGUCAGGGGUGAAAUCCUGGAGCUCAACUCCAGAACUGCCUUUGAUACUGGGAGCCUUGAGUUCGGGAGAGGUGAGUGGAACUGCGAGUGUAGAGGUGAAAUUCGUAGAUAUUCGCAAGAACACCAGUGGCGAAGGCGGCUCACUGGCCCGAUACUGACGCUGAGGUGCGAAAGCGUGGGGAGCAA
rnacentral:rRNA from 1 species